GACGAACGCUGGCGGCGUGCCUAAUACAUGCAAGUCGAGCGGACAGAAGGGAGCUUGCUCCCGGAAGUUAGCGGCGGACGGGUGAGUAACACGUGGGCACCCUACCCUGUGGAUCGGGAUAACAUCGAGAAAUCGGUGCUAAUACCGGAUAAUCAUUGGAAGUGCAUGCUUCGAAUGUAAAAGAUGGCUCCGGCUAUCACUACGGGAGGGGCCGGCGGGGCAUUAGCAGGUUGGUAAGGUAAUGGCUUACCAAGGCAACGAUGCGUAGCCGACCUGAGAGGGGGAUCGGCCACACUGGGACUGAGACACGGCCCAGACUCCUACGGGAGGCAGCAGUAGGGAAUCUUCCGCAAUGGACGAAAGUCUGACGGAGCAACGCCGCGUGAGUGAUGAAGGUUUUCGGAUCGUAAAGCUCUGUUGUUAGGGAAGAACAAGUGCCGUUUGAAUAAGGCGGCACCUUGACGGUACCUAACCAGAAAGCCACGGCUAACUACGUGCCAGCCGCCGCCGUAAGAC
rnacentral:rRNA from 1 species